rnacentral:rRNA from 1 species
UACGAAGGGUGCAAGCGUUAAUCGGAAUUACUGGGCGUAAAGGGUGCGUAGGCGGUUCGUUAAGUCUGUCGUGAAAUCCCCGGGCUCAACCUGGGAAUGGCGAUGGAUACUGGCGAGCUAGAGUGUGUCAGAGGAUGGUGGAAUUCCCGGUGUAGCGGUGAAAUGCGUAGAGAUCGGGAGGAACAUCAGUGGCGAAGGCGGCCAUCUGGGACAACACUGACGCUGAAGCACGAGAGCGUGGGGAGCAAACAGG